rnacentral:rRNA from 1 species
AACGAACGCUGGCGGCAGGCCUAACACAUGCAAGUCGAACGCCCUAGCAAUAGGGAGUGGCAGACGGGUGAGUAACGCGUGGGAACCUUCCCUGUGGUGCGGAAUAACUCGCCGAAAGGCGUGCUAAUACCGCAUAAGCCCGAAAGGGGAAAGAUUUAUCGCCAUAGGAUGGGCCCGCGUAGGAUUAGCUAGUUGGUGAGGUAAUGGCUCACCAAGGCGACGAUCCUUAGCUGGUUUGAGAGAAUGACCAGCCACACUGGGACUGAGACACGGCCCAGACUCCUACGGGAGGCAGCAGUGGGGAAUCUUGGACAAUGGGCGCAAGCCUGAUCCAGCCAUGCCGCGUGAGUGACGAAGGCCUUC